rnacentral:rRNA from 1 species
GUCUACAGAUACAGCCCCUUGCACGUGCCUGAUUUCGUCUGAUCUUGGAAGUUAAGCAGGGUUGGGCCUGGUUAGUUCUUGGAUGGGAGAAGAUGGAAGCAGUUAAUAUAGAGGGAAGACUGGGUUUUUUUACAGC